AACACUAAUGUGGAAUCCGACAUAAACGAGAAGGAAACAGAAGUGAAAGGAACAAUUACCUUAUUUCACUAAGGCCGCGUGGGAAUGUUGUAUGCAUGGGAAUCUUAAAAGAAGGUGACAAUAAGUGGCCCUAAUCAAUGAUAGACUAGGGAAGUCCACAGGGCCACCGCCCAUCUGUCUCAAUUAAUGUGCGGAUUAUUCAUUUUAUUACUAUUAAACAACCUUAAUUAUGGGAAAUGUUGCUGAAAUGGAAAGAAAAGACUAAAAGCAAGUGUGUCACUGCCACUUAUUAAUAUUCACUCCUUUCCAAUGAUCUCUCUUCUCCUCUAUCUCUCUUCAUUUUCAAAAGUGAAACACACAAUAAACCACGAUCUCGUCCGACCAUGGCCAUUACCAGAACCCAAAACAUGCAUACCUAGAUAUACAUACCGAUCCUAAAAGAAAGUCAUUAUCCAGUUCAUGAACAAACCAAAACAAACGCUAUAAAUCUACGGUAUCUAUUGAUUCUCAGUUCAAGAAAUCACCUUAAAUCAGUGAUGAAACACUCACCAACAUAAUCAACAAUAAUGUAAGCGGAAAAUAAACCCAGCUACGUUGUGUUCAUAAGUUUGAAUCAGAAGGUAAACAAAUUUUUUUUGUCAGAGCGUUAAAACUCAGGCCGGAUUCCGGCGAUCAAGAACAAUACCUCAGCUUUAAUGCGCCCUUGUGAGGAGGUUCACGCUGGGUAACCGCCGUAUUUCCUUCCUCUUGCUGCGAUUGGGGUGUGCUUGGUGGCCGUUUCGAUCCUCUUGAUUUUUUUUUGCGCAGAGUAACGGUUCUAGAAUCCGCCCUGUUUACAAUGAUUAGGGUACUUUUUAUAGAAGAAAUCCAAGGUCUCAAAUCAUGUGCGGAUUAUGAGCUGGCGGAGGAUCCAAAGAAUCCGUUAGAAUAAAAUCUCCUUUAGAUUUUGGUGUGGUCCCCAAACAAUGAAGAUGGCAAGGCGAGUUUGUUUUGUUGGUAAGAUCCCAAAAAAAAUGCGUGACCAUUUUGUGAUGAAUCUUGUAAGUGCAGGUUGAUUUGCUUUCAGCAGCAUGGAUCCGAUGGACUGCAUUAUGUGAGUCUUAUGUUCGUGAAUCAUGUUGUAGAUGUGCACCGAUGCAGGUCUUGUGCUGAGAAAUUGUGAGCUGUUUUGUGUCAUGGCUUGGACUUUAGGUUUAUGAUAUUUUCUUGGUUUUGGCUUAAGCAUGUGUGUAUGGUAAUUUAUCCGUUGCAGACCUGUAGUGGUAUGGUCCUACAAUAGCAUUGCCUUAUGUCAUUUCCAUCAUGAUGAGCCAUGUGCAUUAGUUGUUAUUAACUUUGCUCACUUCUGACACUUCUUUAAUCAUGCCAUGAAUUAUGACUUGUGCUUCCCUUUGGCAUGUUUGUGGUAUAGGUUGAAGCUUUGACCUGAUGCGGUUUUCCAUAAUGUUUUGCAAGAGUUGGGAAAGAAGAAAACAGUUUGAGUUUGUUGGAAGAAAUGAAAACUGAGAAGAGCAAAAUGCCACAUGUUGUUUACACCAUAUUGCUCGCUUGACGGGUUCUGCAAAGAUUGUGUUGAUGUCGGAUGCAACUGUUUACUAUGAUUUGAUACCAUACUUAACUGCGGUUGGAAAGGUGGACAAUGUCGGCGUUGUUGUGUCAAAGUUCGAAACAUGCAGGGUUUAAUCUUGAUAGAGUUGGCUACAUUGUUCUCGUCAAUGGAUCCUUGGCAAAGCCGGAGAUUUUGCAGUUUUGUCGAAUAUCUUUCAGUUCUUGGUGAAAUGGAAGAACUGAAGCGUCCGGUCUAUGGAUAUUGUGUUUCCUCUGAUACACCAUCUUCAAUACACGUUGGGCUUGUACCCAACCAAACACGACUUGCUUUUACUUGUCUGAGCUCCAAUUUUGUAUUUCUUUUGAACUUGCUUUCAAAACAUUAUAGCUGAAUUAGGACUUGAAUACUUCAAUGUAACUUUAUAUUUACACCUGCUUAAAUUAUUCACAUUUUGAUCUUA